rnacentral:lncRNA from 1 species
GGACUACCUGACGAGGAGUAGCUUGCUAUCCCACUUGAUACUACGCGGAUCCAAUGUCAGUUUGGGAGACUAGUCCUUUCAAGAAAAUCACUUCAUGACAGUCAUCAAGGAAUGAGAUGAUUACACAAGGGAAUUUAAAGAUCACAAGGAAUGAAGAAGUGAUUGCAACACCUGAAACUAGGCUAGAUUACAACUUACAAGUCAGCCAGUCCUACAGCAGGAAGAGCAAGCAGCUAGUCCUACAGCAGGAAGAGCAAGCACACUCCAUGGGGUCCAUUUUCGUGUCCACCUGAUGUAUGUGAUACCUGAUACACAAUGCAUUGAGUGUAUAACCCAGAGGAGCUUCUUGCAAGUUUUGCUUGAUGCCAUUUCACUAAUUGUGGAGGAGAAUCGACGGGACUUUGCGCUGCACAGACAGAUUUUUGUGCAGACCUGAGAAUACUUGUCCUCACCCUUUAAACAUUACCUACCUUCUGAUCAGGAGAUCUUUUUAUACAGGAAUUUCAGUUAAAGCAUAUCUGAUAGCAGCUCCCAACUUGAAGAGUAAUAAUCUUACACCUGUCUAAACACAGGUUCACCCUGUUCAUAACAAGACUGAAUCCUUCAAUUUGGGGCCAGAAAUUUAAUCUCUCCGGCCUACACUAGUUCAAGUUAAGACCGUAGAUGGUAACCUGUGCAUUGGCUGACUUUCUUUCGAAAACUCUUAAACUCACAUACUAAACAUGCUUUGUAGUUCCUGGCUGGCAAUUUUGUCAGAUAUAGGCUGCCCCGUAAAACAGUAUUCUAGUCAGUAGUCAAAAUUCGAGACCCUGCUUUCAGCAAAGAAAUUUGCAUCAAAUACAAUCUAGAAAGUGUUUUGCUUAGAUCAUCUUCUUGCAUGGAUGGAUUAUGUAUGCUUACUUUGGUUUGAAGGAUAAACUUGAAAGAUAUCUAGU